GAGAGGCGAAGGGAAGAGGGUGCGGGAUGCCCGUGGCCCCCGAUCUCGGUGUCCUAGUGCUGGGUUGUGCCAUCCUCUGCAACCCCAAUUGUCCCGGUCCAAGUCUUAGGAAUGAAGAGUCCAGAACCUGUGUGUUAGUGCUCACUGGCCUGCAAAGGAAUCUGUACAGAGCGCCAUGAACUAGAGGAUGGAGAAUGAGUGCUUGGAGAUGCCUGAGGUACGGUCCUUACCCGCGUGGCAUGUGGAGGCUGGUAACGCUCUGUCCCAGUUUCUAGGAGCCCAGUGAGGUAGGUCUGGUGGGAGAGUUGGGUGGAAACUCGUGAACCGGUGCAUAGUUGGCACGUGAUGAUUGCUGUGAGGGAAGGGAGUGCUGUGGAGGUUAGAGACUAAGGUAGUUCAGGGUAUUUGACAGAAGAAGUGACAUUUGAGUAGCUCCAAAAGUGUACACAGGCUUUCUCCCAUUGAGACAAGCGAGGAAAGAAGUUUCAUGGGGAGUGUACAGAGGCCGAGGACUAGGAAAUGUACCUGCUGGGCAUAGCAGGGAGCGUGGGUUCAGUUACCACGUCUGUCUGGAUCUUUAAGUGGAAUUGGUUUUACAAAUUUUGCUUCCAUAAUUCAGAGGAAGGGCAGAGGCUUUCUUUGGGAUUAACUGAGAUUAGCCUUCAAAGCGUUUCUAUAGGGUAGGGCAACACAGGCUCUAAUAGUAGAUUUGAGAACUUUAAUAGUAAGAUUCGUAAAUGGGUUGGUUUGGAUUUUUUUUUUUUUGUUUUGUUUUUAAGACAGGGUCUGUGUAGGUAGCUCACGGUGACCUCAAACUCAGGGUUCUUCUGCCUCAGCCUCCCAAAGCAAUAGGAUUGAUUACUGGUGCGCCCACCACUACAACUGGCUUGAUUUUUGUUGUUUUGGAGGUUAUUUUGUUGUCGCGGU
rnacentral:lncRNA from 1 species